ensembl:lncRNA
GAUCUGAGCUGUGUCUGUGACCUACACCGCAGCUCCUGGCAAUGCUGGAUCCUUAACCCACUGAGCGAGGCCAGGGAUCGAACCUGCACCAUCAUGGUUACUAGUCGGAUUCAUUUCCACUGCGCCACAACAGGAACUCCUCUUUUUUAUUUUUGAGUCAUUAAGUUACCAGCAGUUUAUUAGUAAUAAUUGAAAUAAUAGUAAUAGUGCUUAAUAUGUGCCAGGCACAGUGCUAAGGAUUUCCAUACAUUAUCCCUUUUAAUCCCAAAAAACCAACCUUUGAUUAGGUAUUAUCCCCAUUUUAUAUGUGAGGAAAAGGAAGCACUGUGACACGCUGAGGGCACUGAAUGGUUAAGAAGACAGACUUUGAGAUCCAAGAGCCCUAGGUUUGGACAGGGUACUAGAUGCAGUUCCAACCCUGUUGGCUCUGAUAAUAGCACCUCCCUUGUGGGGUAGUUGUGAGGGUUUUAUGAAAUAAUAUGCCAUAAACAUUUGGCACAGUGCCUGGCGUGUAGUAAGCACUCAGUAAAUGGUAGCUGUUUUUAUGGAACUCACUGGUAAUUGGAACCCAAGUUAGUAUAAUGCCAGAGACUGGGUCUUGGCCACUGUGCUGCCCUUGCCCUUCACACAGCCUGGGUGUACGAAGUCUAGAAAGCAAGUGCACCCUCCUUCUGAGAGAAGCAGUGCAACUUUAGCCCCUACCUGUAGCAUCUGGGUACUUCCUUCUUUGUUCAGAGAGCCAGCCUGACAAAAGGGAAGAGGGUAUGGAGGUUUCAGUAGGAACGGUUUGCCUGCACCCUGCUGGCCCUCGUCGAGACUUUCCAAAGGAAGGAGCCCCUUUCCUUUUGCCCCAUGUGAUUUGUGAAUGGAGACUAGGCACUGGAUUGAGUGACAAAUAUUUCUUUUCAUUUUUCAAAUGGAAACCGGAUUUGGGGAAAGUGUGUGUGAGGUGUGGAGCGUUCUUCACUUUGAAGGAAUGGCAUUGACGGGAUCCAUGGAGUUCUAAAGCCAAGAGAAUAGUAAUGAUUAGAACCACUGGCUUGACUGUGGCCUGUUUCCUGAGUGUUGGUGGGGAAUGAAGAUCCGGCCCAAAGGCCCCCUGUGUUUAACUGAUGGUCUCUUCCUUUGGUUAGUUGAUGAAUAAGUAGGAUGGGAACCAGGAACAUGGUUGUGGGGGUGGAGUAAGCUGCUGCCAUGGCUGAGCCUGGGCUUGCCCUCUCGCCCUUCAGGACUGGUGCUUGCCAGGCUAGCACCUCCCUCAUCGUUUCAUCUGAUGGACCAGCUGCUUUUUAACUGUAGUGAAAAUGGCUCUGAGCUGGAGGCAGGGAUCCUCUGGGCCUUGGUCUUGAAGAUGCCUCUGCAGAGCUCUCCUGAGCUCUCUGCAGUCUCCCGGGGCUCCCUUUAUGUGGCACUCAGCUUUAGUUGGGUGGAGCCGCCUGGUGACCCUGUCCCGGGUGACAGGGUUUGCUGACAUCCUCCACAGCGCAGUCUGGGUCCUCGGCUGCUGGAGCUCUCUUUUGUCACCUCUGUCAGGAUCAGGCGCUGGUUUUGCUGGCUUUGUGCCAGGAAUCACCAGCAUAGAAAAAGGGUUAAGAAGAUACGUACAUAUUCUAUUAUAUAAGGUGUUUUGCGAGUGCUGUUUUCACUUAAAUCUUUCACACACAGCACUGUGUGGCUGCCUUAUGUCACACUGGCUGGGUAUCUGGGAGCUGAUAACAAGGGAAGAGAGCUUAGCAGACGUCAGGGCCAAUAAAACCAAAGGCUUGGAGUCAGGGGCAGGAUGCAGGCAGUAUUGUCCAGGCAGAGCACUGUCGAGAAGCCUUGGGGAUGGCAGCAGGAGGAGCACAGGCAGAGGAUAGGCGAGUCCUGUCACUGGCGGAGGCCAGCCCCCUGCAUCUCUCUCCGUGGGGACCAGAAACGGGGCUCAGAAGCCCAUCCAGGGAGAUUCAGCGCUCCUGGAUUGUGGAUUAUCUUCUGGAGUUGAUGCUGAUACCAAGUUUUAAUUUUUUUCAGAUGUUUCAUACUUCCCAAGACAGGAGUGGGAGGCCAAAGUGUUAGAGACGAGGCCCCUCUGUUGAAGAUUCUGGGGAAGGAACCCCGGGGGUGUUGGGUGAGUGAGGCGCCUCCUCACUUCUGUUCACUCUGAAGAUCCGCUUAGUGAGACAUUUUCCCGAAACCUAGAUAUGGCCUCCCCGGCCCCACUGGGGAGUACCAGGUAGUCAAAAGCAGCCCCUGCAGUGUCUGUGCCGCCCUCAGGUUGCCCUGUCCCUGCCUUUGGCAUUUCGCUAAAACCAUGUGUUUUUGCCAGCGCUGACCUUUUCUCUGUGCACUGCCUGAUCAGUAUUGAACAAUACCUGUAGAUUCUUUUUCAAUGCAACGUCAGAACAUGAUAUACUGUACGCUGGGAAAUAGUCACCUUAUUUAUACACCUGAAUCCUCCUAUUCCACAAAUAAACAUCUGCUCAAU